CAAAAUUUGCAUCCAUCUUAAAGGACAUGAUCAUAUAGAUAAGAGAAAAUGGAUUCUGAUAAAGUUGGGUUCCAGUCCUGGAUCCACCACGGUGUCAGACUGAGAAAGUGACUUAGCCCUUUGAAGUUCCAGUUUCUGUACAUGUUUUAAAAAUGGAACCAAGAGAAAAAAAAAAAACUUGUUUCCCGGGGUUAUUAAAUUCCUUUCAGCUUUAAUGUUCUUGUUUCUGACUCGUAUUUUGAUGCCUAGUACCAAUUAGCUACACAAUCUGGCUAUCCUAAAUAUUGCAAUAAAUUUCAUAGGAAUUUGUUCUUCUGAGGAAAGUGUCUUUUGGGAAAUGUAGACUCUGAAAUGAGAUUUACAGGAAGGAAGGGGAUUCUUAAUCAGAUAGAAUUUUACCAUCAUCACAGGAAAGAAAAAUAUUGGAAAAGCACACUAGCUUAGGGGAGAUUAUUGAGAGAAAGAGCAGAACUCAGAGUGAGUGGGAAACGGUGGGGAAAAGCAUCUCUUCCCCGGGAAGCUCUCUUCCCCUCAUGUGGACGUGACCUCACUCUCCCACAUGCAAACUCCUCUGAGUUCAAGUCAUGGCAAGUCUAUGCUCCAAGAUUUUGAAGAAGGCAUCCUUUUCCCUACUCCCAGGUCUUUUUCUUUCUCUCCCUCAUUUACUCUUUUUCAGGGUGACCUCGUACAGCCCAGAAUAUUCUUAGCUCUCACAUCUCAGGUCCACUUAAAGUAUAUCCCAUUUAGUGAAGGGUCAAAGAUCAAUAAGGCAAAUGGAUUAAAAUGUCCUUGGCUUAGUAGAAAGGCCUUCAGCAGGCUGGGAAGUUACUCAUGAUUAUAUACAAUUCAAAGACUCCCCAGAGAAGAGCGGGGGGAUCUACAGAAGCCACUGUCCCUGUCUUUAUUUAUGCUCAAGGCCACAAGGGCACUUCCCUCAUGGGAUUGUGGAGAGGAGCCAUUUUUUCUCCCAUGUGUGUGAAGUUUCCAAAAGAUUUUAUUUCAGAAAAGAUCAAGGCUCUGAAGAAGGCACGGGCUUAUUUGGCAGGCAGCCUACUAAUUUCAUAUUCCAUAUCGCCUUUGCGUUUGGUAUUUGGUGGGAAGAAUUCUCACAGUUCUAAUUUUUAUCAAAGAAUUUUCAGUAGCAUUUUCUGUCCCAAGAAAGUAGCUAGAUCCUGAGAGGGGCUCCGAUUCUCACUAAUCAAAGAAACCAAUCAAUCAGUAGGGACUUUAAAAGAUUAAAGUCUUUUUAAUCUUAAUUAAUGACUUUAUUUUUUUUUUAAUCACUUAAAGUCCACACAAAAAUUGAGCAGAAAGUACAGAGAUAUCCCAUGUAUUACCUUCUACCUUCUAGGUUUCCCUAUUUUUAGCAUCUUAUGUUAAUGUGGUAUACUUGUUACAAUUGAUCAAUGAAUGUUGACAUAUUAUUAUUAACUAAAGCACAUAGUUUCCUGCCCAGUUUAGUCUUUGUGUUGUAUAGCUCUAUGGAUUUCAACAACUGAAAUCAUGUGUUUUCCAUGAGAAUAUAUUGUACAUAGAGUUUCCCUGUCCUAAAUUCUUCCACACUCCACCUUUUUAUCCCUCCCUCCCUGGCCAUUUUUAUUGUCUCUAUAGAUUUUCCUUUUCCAGGAUUCAUAUCAUUGGAAUCAUAUAGCAUGUAGUCUUUUCAAACUGGAUUUGUUUUUCUCACUCACCAAUAUACAUUUAAGGUUCUUCCUGGUUUUGUAUGGCUUCAUAGAUUUUUUUUUAAUGGCAUUUGCUCCUUUUUAUUCAUUUUCAAGUUUCUCACAUAGAUCACUUUUUUAAAAAAAAAUUAUUAAAAUACCUGAAUAAUAUCCCAUUGCACGAAUGUACCUUAGUUUGUUUAUCCACACCUAGUGAAACAUAUCUUGUUUGCUUUCAAAUUUUGUCAAGUAUGAAUAAAGCUACUAUAAAUAUCCAUGUACAAGUUUUCAUGUGGAAAUAAAUUUUUAACUCAUUUGAGUAAAUAACAAAAAGUGUGUUUCAUAUGAUAAGAAUAUAUUUAGUUUUGUAAAAAUCUGCUAUAUUUUCUUCCACAGUGGGCCAUACCAUUUCCCACCAGCAAUUAAUAAGAGAGCUUAUUUUUUCAUAUCCUCACCAGCUUUUUUUGGAUUUUGCUAUUCUAAUAGAUGUACAGUGGUAUCUUGUUGUCAUUUUAAUUUGUAACUUCCUAACAAAAUAUGAUUCUGAACAUCUUUCAUAUGCUUAUUUGUAUAUUUUUUGGGUGAUGUCAAUUUAGUCAAUUUUCCAUUGUUGUGAAAAAGUAUCUGAGAUAAUCAAUUUAAAAGGAGGAAAGGUUUAUUUUGGCUCAUGGUUUCAGAGGUUUCAAUUCAUGGUCACUUAGCCUUGUUGCUUUGGGUCUGCGGUGGCAUCCUACUUCAUGACAUGAGAGGCAUGGCAGAGGAGGCCUGUUUACUUCAUGGAUGCUGGAAGUCAAAAAAAAAAAAAAGAAAGAAAGAAAGAAAAAAGAAAAGAAAAGGCAAGGAAGAGCUGGGUUUCCAAUACUUCCUUCAACCUUCAAGGGCCCACCCCCAAUGACCUAACUUUCUUCCACUAGGCUCCAGCUCCUAAGGUUUCCACCACCUCCCAGUAGCUCCACAGGAUAGAAACAAGCCAUUAACACCUGGCUUUUUGAAGGACAUUCCAGACGUCAGAUGGCAGAUAAUCUUUUUUUUAAAUAAAUUUUUAAUUGGGUCUCCUGUUUUUACCUACUUUUAAAUUAGGUUAUCUGUCUUCUUAUUUUUGAGUUUUAAGGGUUCCUUGCAUAUUUUGGAUCACUAGGUUUUAAUGAGCUAUUUCUGCUAUGGCAGGAGUGUGGCAGCCAUGAAGCAUACUGAGUUUACCUUUCCCUCAUUGGGCUCAUCAUCUGUUUGAGAAUCAGGACCCCAAGUGUACACACAUGAAACAGAACUGCACAGACAAUUGUCACUAUAAAUGUAUUUGUUUCUGCUUAUGAGAUACAAUAUGAAGUCCCACUUUAGAUUUGUUUUAUAGUCUUUAGGUAGAGAAGAGUGUCACUAGUUUCUCAUUUGUGCAUGUUUCAUGGUUUCUAGAUGCCCCCAACAUGCACGCACAUGGAUUAGCAAGUCAGGGACUAGUUUUCUGUGUCACUAAAGAUAAUAUUCACUGUAAGGCCAUAUCCUAAAAAUCAGCUUUGGGAUAAAAAUCUAUUUUAGUCUUUCAUAUAAAGAGUGUUGUAUGUGCUAUCAUAGAUUCACUCAGUAGAAGUAUAUAAGAAUUUUUGAUUAAUGAGAGUUUUUAAAAACUUAUUUGUUUUCCUUUUUUGUUUGUUUGUUAGAAAGAUACCUUUGAAGAAAGAAAUAAAGGUUAGGAAAUGUCUACUCUGUAGAUCUUACUGGGAGAAAUUUUGAAAUACUUACCAUGAUAACAUUUGAGAUUGGGAAGGAAAAAAAUUGGAGAUCAGGAAGUAUUUUCGGAAAAUGUUUCUAACUACCACCCCAGGAAGACAGUGAGGUGAACUUAAUGAAAACUCAAUGGCAAUGCUCUCAAGAGACCUUGCACUUCAGUAACAAUGAGGCAUUCAUUGAAUUUGCUUGGCACUUCCCAGUUCACAGAACAUUAUCGUAUCCUCGCUACUUGCAACUCGAGGUAACAACGAUUGUGAGUUUUGUUUCACGGAUUGGGAAGCAGUCUAAGAAAGGUCAAGGGAUUUGGUAAAGAAUGCACCACUCAUUUCACUGUGAACUACGGUAUUUGACCCUAAGAUCAAGGUGCUAGAGGGAAACUGUCUGUUUUACGGCCUGGGUUUCCUGUGGAUAGCUACUACUCAGCCCUGGGUGAUGCUGUCUCAAAACAGAAACUAGCUGGAUCUCACCAGAGACUGCCUGCAAAGAAUCUAGGCUACAUUUUUGGGGUUUGGAGGAUGCUUCAUGCCUCAAGUAGAGAAGAAGUGAUCCCAGAAGUGUUUCCUCCACCAAGAACAACAAGGGAAGAUUUACUAGUGUGCUGCUGGCAGGUUUGAGGACCAGGUGAGAAGAAUCAAUGUGUGUCUGGGUGAUCUAAAGGAUCCAUGGCGGCGUACUCACUGCAGACAAAGCACCAAGAUCUUUCACGAAGUAAAAUAUCUUGGAAAAUUGGAGCUUUAUUGUAAAAAUGUAUGGCCGGUUUGUAUUCUACUGAAAAUCUGUUUGUUUUUAAGAUAAAAAUAAUAUGAAAAAUCCUUCCUCCCAAAUCUUUAAAUAAAAAUUUGCCCAGACACAAUUAACUAUGCUUAUCCUAUAGCUUUGUAGAUCCCUUGGGGCUCCUUGUCAUAAGAAUCAUGCACAUAAUGUGUACAAAGGCUCUGGUACAACACAGCAGGAUAGGUGCCAAUUAUUAUUACAAAUGUUAUUACUUUUGUAAAUCAUAUUAUUUGAAGGCUUUACUUAGGGAUGGACCUAGUGAGAUCCUGUACAUUUUCAUCAUGAACUCUGAUAAAUUGAUUUUGUCUUUGAUGGAUACAUUGGAUCUAAGUUUCAACUCAUUUACAUCUCUGGUAUCAUGUUUAUCUAUUUAACUGAGAUUAGUAAUUGUUGUGUGUGGUUUUCUUGUUAAGAUAUAAAUCCUACAGUGACUAUUCAUCUCUUCCUUCACUCACUCAAUCAAUCACUCACUCAGUCAAAAUUUACCAAGUAUCUAUCUCAAUAAGGCCAUGUUGUAGCACUAUUAAAGAUAAAACUAAAGGAUGAAGUUCUUGUCACCUAAGAACUCAUCAUUCAAGACCUCACAGGGACAGGGUUUCAGAGAGAAGCAAGCUAUCAUAACACCAAAACUAAUCAAUUGACCAUUUGUAAAAUAAACCGACCUACUUCAACAUUCUUCUCUGUGUUUAACUGCAACAUUUACCUUCACUCAUGAUCUCAAUGUAAGUGUUUCAUAGUUUCUUUCUUUGUAGACCAAUUGAUAUUGUAAAAAAGCUGAAAAUAUAACGAGAAAACAAUGGAAAAAAUCAAUAAUAUAAGUUUUAAAAAUAUAAAGUAUUUGAUGAUGUGAAUGAAAUUGAUGUUGGAGAUAUAUUCAAUCAGAUAAAGAGCUAUUGACAAGUUA